UGUGUGUGUGUGUGUCUGUCUGCCUGUCUGUCUUUCUAGUCUUACAUAUUACUUUAGUUAUAUUAAUGUUGAUGUGGGUUGCUUAAAUUCUAGGAAAUUCAUGAGAAUCAGUAAUCUUUCCUGUUGUCAUAUGGUGAUAGAAAUAUAAGUUUCAUCAAUAACUGUAUUAGGUGACCAUUCGUUGUUUUCAGCUUUGCAACACUUGAGACUGAAUCUAUUCGAUGUCCCCAUUUGGUGGCGGGUAUUGGCUGUCACUCAGAGGCAGAGAGAGAAUCCUGAACUUCUAUUCUUCAGUUACCAGGGUACAUUCGACUUUGUUGUAUAUUCAGAUGUCCCAUCCUAUCCUUGUUUUCCAUCUUCCCCAUUGGUUCCUAGCAAGUUUCAUUUCAAAAGCUAACUAAAUCUUUAGUUGGAGAAGCAAAAUGGAAAAGCAAUUUUAAACAAAAAUGAGAACCUCACAGUUUUUUAAUAAAAUUAUUUUCAUCCUCUGUAGCCAUAAUAAGAUUUAGUUUCUGUAGAAACUAAUGGGAAUUAAUAUCUAGGUGCAUAUAAAACAGACUGUGCCCUGUGCUAAGCAUUUUAUUCACAUCUUUACAUACUAAGCAAUCCUGUACAACGUGGAUGUGGACUCCCUAUUUCUAUUUUAUUUGUUUUUUAAAAGAUUAGGGUUUUAUUUUAUUGUUUAUUUGAAAGUUUUGUUUUUUGGCUGCACUGUGUGGCUUGUGAAAUCUUAGUUUCCUGGGCAGGGAUCGAACCUGCACCCUUGGCAAUGAAAGCAAAGAGUCCCAGUUGCGUGACCAAAAUUCCCAGGACUCCCUAUUUUUAAAAAAAGAAAGAGUAGAACUCAUAGAAAUAUCAUUUUUGAGCCCCUAAUAAAUGUCAGACAUUAUGCUAGAUGUUUUCUACACAUUCUUUAAUCUAAUCCUACAAAUUUUUAAAAAUAGUAUUAUCAUCUAUCUGUUUAGAUGAAGAAACUGAAGCUCACUUUUCUCCAAAUACCCAUAUCUGAGGACUGGAGUCAGAGUCCUUAUGGCUGGCUCCAGGUUGUUCUCUUUCUUCUACUUCUUUUCCAGUAUUUUAGAAAGAAUUUUUAUUUUUAAUUGUUUAAAAGAUAUAUUUCUCUUUCCACUCCACAUCCCAUCAGAUGACCGGUAGUUUGAGGGCAGGGCCCACAUCAGGGCUUGGCAUGUAAGAACUCAGUAAAUAUUUGUUGAAUGAGUUGAAGGAGGCAGGCUUGGGAAGGUUCCAAUUCUCUAGUCAGUCUCUUGGUUAACACUUGUACCAGUUGUUUAUUGCUGCAUAAAAUAUUACCCCAAAACUCAGUGGCUGAAAAUAGCAGAUGCUUAUCUCCCAACUGCUGUUGCUCAGGAAUCCAGGAGCAGAAUACCUGGUUCUCUUGAAAGGUGGUUGCCAAGAUUUUGCUAAAGGCUCCAGUCAUCUCAAGGCCCAGCUGGGGCAAGGUCUGCUUCUAUUCAUUAUGAUGAUUCGCCUCUGCCCCCAGUAGAGAUGUGUCUGUGCUCAUUCAGCUGGCCAUUGGCAGACCUCACCUCCCUACCAGGUCAGCCCUUCUGCCAGGCUACCUCAUGACAUGGCAGCUGGCUUUUCCAGAAUGAAGUGGUCCAGGAGAGAGUGACAGAGAACACCUGACAUGGAAUCCAGUCUUUUUUAUAACCUAAUCUUGGGAGUCACGUGUUUCUUUUUUUAAAUUAAUUUUUAUUGGAGUAUAGUUGCUUUAUAAUGUUGUGUUAG
ensembl:lncRNA